UGAACGGCUAAGGAUGGAAGCAGAUCCAAUAUGGUUACGUUGUAGUUGAAUAUGGACAGUACUAUUUUUCAUAGCUUAACUCGAAUACAAAUAUAGAUUUAUAUGUUUUCAAAUGCGAAUACAAAAUGGAUAGUUCGGAUUCAGAUAUGCAUUUGGAUAUCUAUUUGAUUUGGCUUAUAACAAUUAGCAAGAGAAUCCAUUCGUUUCAUUGAUGAUUUUGAAAGAAAAAAAAAUCAUCAUUCAAUACACAGGUAGGG
rnacentral:lncRNA from 1 species